GACGAACGCUGGCGGCGUGCCUAAUACAUGCAAGUCGAGCGGAGCUUAUCCUUCGGGGUAAGCUUAGCGGCGGACGGGUGAGUAACACGUAGGCAACCUGCCCCUUAGCCUGGGAUAACUACCGGAAACGGUAGCUAAUACCGGAUAAUUUCUUUUUUCUCCUGAAGAGAGAAUGAAAGGCGGAGCAAUCUGCCAUUAAGGGAUGGGCCUGCGGCGCAUUAGCUAGUUGGUGGGGUAACGGCUCACCAAGGCGACGAUACGUAGCUGACCUGAGAGGGUGAACGGCCAAACUGGGACUGAGACACGGCCCAGACUCCUACGGGAGGCAGCAGUAGGGAAUCGUCCGCAAUGGGCGAAAGCCUGACGGAGCAACGCCGCGUGAGUGAUGAAGGUUUUCGGAUCGUAAAGCUCUGUUGCCAGGGAAGAACGUCCGGUAGAGUAACUGCUACCGGAGUGACGGUACCUGAGAAGAAAGCCCCGGCUAACUACGUGCCAGCAGCCGCGGUAA
rnacentral:rRNA from 1 species